UAUCUCAAUUAUAACUAUCAACAACGGAUCUCUUGGCUCUCACAUCGAUGAAGAACGCAGCGAACCGCGAUAUUUUUUGUGACUUGCAGAUGUGAAUCAUCAAUCUUUGAACGCACAUUGCGCGGUAUGGCAUUCCGUACCGCACGGAUGGAGGAGCGUGUUCCCUCUGGGAUCGCAUUGCUUUCUUGAAAUGGAUUUUUUUAAACUCUCAAUUAUUACGUCAUUUCACCUCCUUCAUCCGAGAUUACCCGCUGAACUUAAGCAUAUCAAUAAGCGGAGGAAAAGAAACCAACAGGGAUUGCCUCAGUAACGGCGAGUGAAGCGGCAAAAGCUCAAAUUUGAAACCCUCGGGAUUGUAAUUUGAAGAUUUGGCAUUGGAGAAAGCUAACCCAAGUUGCUUGGAAUAGUACGUCAUAGAGGGUGACAACCCCGUCUGGCUAACCGUUCUCCAUGUAUUGCCUUAUCAAAGAGUCGAGUUGUUUGGGAAUGC
rnacentral:rRNA from 1 species